AUCCAACUGACGAGUACAAAACAGGACGAAAUGCGCGUCCUGGAU
rnacentral:hammerhead_ribozyme from 1 species